rnacentral:rRNA from 1 species
CAGUAACGGCGAGUAAGCGGGAAGAGCUCAAGCUUAAAAUCUCCUUGCAGUCUCUGCUCGGCGAAUUGUAGUCUAUUGAGGCGAAGUCAGCGUGCAGGAUCCGGCCAAGUUCCUUGGAAGAGGACAGCAUGGAGGGUUACACUCCCGUCUCUGCCGGCAAAUGUGCGCGUACGACUCGUCUUCUUUGAGUCGCGUUGUUUGGGAAUGCAGCGCAAAGCAGGUGGUAAAUUCCAUCGAAAGCUAAAUACCUGUGCGAGACCGAUAGCGAACAAGUACCGUGAGGGAAAGAUGAAAAGAACUUUUAAAAGAGAGUUAAAGAGUACCUGAAACUGCUGAAAGGGAAGCGAAUCGCGUCCGCUGUCCAUUCCGCGGUCAACACAGCUUCGGCGGUUGAUGCGGAGGAGUCAAAGUCAGUUUGGUGUCGAAGGUAAAGUCGACUGUGCGCGUAGCAUGGCUGCCUUUCGGGGCUGGUCCUACGAGAAACGUUGUGCGCUGCCUCGGCCAGGACUGAGGCGAUAACAGCAAUCGUGUGUGCUCUGUAAGUUUGUGCGGAGAUCGGAUAGGCAGCCCCUACCUCCUGGUGAGAUGCGGCACUAUAAAUGAGACGCAUGUACGCGAGCGGAUGCGCACACACGCUGUUCGGGACUUUGAUCGAAUGGAGCGAUUCG